AAUCUGUGAUGAACCUAUCCCGAACCUGAAUUUCCUGUUGAAAAACCUUUAUUACGGAUCUGGCUUCUGAGAU
ensembl:snoRNA